rnacentral:rRNA from 1 species
UAGGGAAUAUUGGACAAUGGGCGAAAGCCUGAUCCAGCAACGCCGCGUGCGCGAUGAAGGCCUUCGGGUUGUAAAGCGCUUUUAGGGGAGAUGAGAAAGGACAGUAUCCUCUGAAUAAGCCUCGGCGAACUACGUGCCAGCAGCCGCGGUAAAACGUAGGAGGCAAGCGUUAUCCGGAUUUAUUGGGCGUAAAGCGCGUGCAGGCGGUUUGAUAAGUUGGAUGUGAAAUCUCCCGGCUCAACUGGGAGCGGUCAUUCAAAACUAUCAGACUAGAGGAUGGGAGAGGGAGGUGGAAUUCCGGGUGUAGUGGUGAAAUACGUAGAUAUCCGGAGGAACACCAGUGGCGAAGGCGGCCUCCUAGACCAUUCCUGACGCUAAGACGCGAAAGCUAGGGGAGCA